CAGCACUCCUGGCAGAUGUGAGGCCACGCUUUGCCCAGCAGUCCUCCUUAGAGCUGCCACCCAGUGCAGCUAUGCCAGCACAUCAGCUUUCAGCUUCUUGUACUUUGGUGCAGAAGCUGAGGAAGCAUUAUAUUCAGUCUUGUCACGAGGCAAGCAAACGGGUUAAUCCAUCACUGCCAUGAGGCAGACUCAAGAUCACGAGCACUUGGGAUUUCUGCUUCACAUUGGAAACUUCAGUGAUUCAUUUCAAGCUCACUAUUCACCCCUUCUUUUUUCGUUCACAAAUAGAAACAACGUUGACUGAGAAGGUAGCCACAACUAUAGAAAGAGUUAGGAUUUAUAAGGAGAAGUACAGGACAGAAUAACAGAUAGUCACAACGCAGUAAUGGUGUUCAGUUGGUCAUCCGAAGCUUUAGGCCAAAGGUCAGCUGAGACAACACGUUCAGUGGUAGGAUAAGUGUAAAUUCUGAGUUUUUUCAGCUUCUUGUAAUGAACAUUCUGGGUACUUGCAAGGGACAUCUCUGCCUGGUGUAGGCUGAAUGGAAUGAGGCAAAUUCCUUCCUGAAAUCCAUCAGCAUCAUUUUACUUGCUCAGUGCACAAGUGGGAACCAGGUUAGAAGCGGAGAAGUCAUGAGUUUAUGAGUUCAGGCAUGAGUUUAUGAGUUCAGAAGCAUAACACCUGUGGCUGGGAUAAGGAAGGGGACAUCUGUCCUGCCUACAGCACGCCGCUAGAACAGCCACCCACCUAGGAGACUGAAUUCGUGGGCUGUGUGGCCUGUGUACCAGCUGUUCUGGCAGCAGGAUCCAUCAGUGAUGGAGGAUGUUGAGUCACCUUAUACAGACACCAGGAUGACUUUGAGAGCAAUGGAUGGUGAGACAAGCAGAGUCAUGUGUGGGCAGCCAUGAGAAGUGCCAGGCCUGGUCAUCUCCUCUCAGCUGCCCAUUGACUGCUGUAGAGCCACAGACAAAAAUUUUCCCUGCUUGAUUGUCAGACAAUGUCCUUCGCAGGAGGCUUUAUUCUGUGAUCUUCCUGGGUGGUAAAGAGCUGGAGGGGAAAAUCCCUCCUGAUGGGGAUUUUUAAUGGCUUCCUUUCUGAAAUAAGAAAGCCAAGCAUAGCCAAACCCUAAACACAAGCUCCAUGAACAGACUCGGGGCUGUCACUAUGUUACAUGGGGUGCCUCCAGCAAUUGAAUAAAUCCUCA
rnacentral:lncRNA from 1 species